CAGGACAUAGUUAAAUAAGAAUAUUGGCUUUGGGGGCCAGUGGUGGGGAUAAUUUCCCCUGUCCUGA
rnacentral:tRNA from 1 species